rnacentral:rRNA from 1 species
UAAGGUCCCAAAAUAACUGUUAAGUGGAAAAGGAUGUGGGGUUGCACAGACAACUAGGAUGUUAGCUUAGAAGCAGCUAUUCAUUCAAAGAGUGCGUAAUAGCUCACUAGUCGAGUGACCCUGCGCCGAAAAUGUACCGGGGCUAAAACAGUUUACCGAAGCUGUGGAUGACACAAAAGUGUCAUGGUAGGAGAGCGUUCUAUGUGUGAAGAAGGUGUACCGUGAGGAGCGCUGGAACGCAUAGAAGUGAGAAUGCCGGUAUGAGUAGCGCAAGACAGGUGAGAAUCCUGUCCACCGUAAGACUAAGGUUUCCAGGGGAAGGCUCGUCCGCCCUGGGUUAGUCGGGACCUAAGGAGAGACCGAAAGGUGUAUCCGAUGGCCAACAGGUUGAUAUUCCUGUACUAGAGUAUAUAGUGAUGGAGGGACGCAGUAGGCUAACUAAACCGGACGAUUGGAAG